AACCUGCAGCCCAAGUGGUGACUGUUAUUAUUGGGCCUAAAACGUCCGUAGCCGGCCCUGUAAAUGCUUGGGUAAAUCGUCUCGCUUAACGAUACGAAUUCCGAGUAGACUGCAGGGCUUGAGAUCGGGAGAAGAUAGAGGUACUCCUGGGGUAGAGGUGAAAUUCUGUAAUCCUAGGGGGACCACCAGUGGCGAACGCGUCGAUCUAGACCGAGUCUGACGGUCAGGGCCGAAGCCCUGGGGCGCAAACGGG
rnacentral:rRNA from 1 species